rnacentral:rRNA from 1 species
GACGAACGCUGGCGGCGUGCCUAAUACAUGCAAGUAGAACGCUGAAGGAGGAGCUUGCUUCUCUGGAUGAGUUGCGAACGGGUGAGUAACGCGUAGGUAACCUGCCUGGUAGCGGGGGAUAACUAUUGGAAACGAUAGCUAAUACCGCAUAAUAGUAGAUGUUGCAUGACAUUUGCUUAAAAGGUGCAAUUGCAUCACUACCAGAUGGACCUGCGUUGUAUUAGCUAGUUGGUGAGGUAACGGAUCACCAAGGCAACGAUACAUAGCCGACCUGAGAGGGGGAUCGGCCACACUGGGACGGAGACACGGCCCAGACUCCUACGGGAGGCAGCAGUAGGGAAUCUUCGGCAAUGGACGGAAGUCUGACCGAGCAACGCCGCGUGAGUGAAGAAGGUUUUCGGAUCGUAAAGCUCGGUUGUAAGAGAAGAACGAGUGUGAGAGUGGAAAGUUCACACUGUGACGGUAUCUGACCAGAAAGGGACGGCUAACUACGUG